UGGGGAAUUUUGGACAAUGGGCGAAAGCCUGAUCCAGCAAUGCCGCGUGUGUGAAGAAGGCCUUCGGGUUGUAAAGCACUUUUGUCCGGAAAGAAAUCCUUGGCUCUAAUACAGUCGGGGGAUGACGGUACCGGAAGAAUAAGCACCGGCUAACUACGUGCCAGCAGCCGCGGUAAUACGUAGGGUGCAAGCGUUAAUCGGAAUUACUGGGCGUAAAGCGUGCGCAGGCGGUUUGCUAAGACCGAUGUGAAAUCCCCGGGCUCAACCUGAGAACUGCAUUGGUGACUGGCAGGCUAGAGUAUGGCAGAGGGGGGUAGAAUUCCACGUGUAGCAGUGAAAUGCGUAGAGAUGUGGAGGAAUACCGAUGGCGAAGGCAGCCCCCUGGGCCAAUACUGACGCUCAUGCACGAAAGCGUGGGGAGCAAACAGGAUUAGAUACCCUGGUAGUCCACGCCCUAAACGAUGUCAACUAGUUGUUGGGGAUUCAUUUCCUUAGUAACGUAGCUAACGCGUGAAGUUGACCGCCUGGGGGAGUACGGUCGCAAGAUUAAAACUCAAAUGAAUUGACGGGGUCAUAGCUGUUUCCU
rnacentral:rRNA from 1 species